GCACUUUUUCUUCAGCAGCACAUAUACUAAAAUUAGAAAGAUACAGAGAAGAUUAGUAUGGCUGCUGUGCAAAGAUGAUACACAAAUUCAUGAAGCACUCUAUAUUUUU